rnacentral:sRNA from 1 species
UAGAGACUCCUGUGGCCUUCUCUCUGACUUGGAACUGAUUCAUGUAUGUGGUUUUUAAUCUUUGUUGGGGAUUAUGUGACAUUCCAUGUCUAUUUCCUCACAGGCAUGAGGCAUGCCAUUUACGACAAGCUGGAUGAUGAUGGUUUGAUAGCUCCAGGGGUUCGUGUAUCAGGAGAUGAUGUUAUUAUAGGCAAAACAGUCACCUUGCCUGAAAAUGAAGAUGAAUUGGAGAGCACCAAUAGACGCUAUACCAAGAGAGACUGUAGCACUUUUCUCAGAACUAGCGAGACGGGCAUUGUGGAUCAGGUUAUGGUAACUCUCAACCAGGAAGGAUAUAAAUUUUGUAAAAUAAGGGUACGCUCUGUUAGGAUUCCACAGAUUGGAGACAAAUUUGCUAGUCGACAUGGUCAAAAGGGUACUUGUGGUAUUCAGUAUAGACAAGAG